rnacentral:rRNA from 1 species
GAUGAACGCUGGCGGCGUGCCUAAUACAUGCAAGUCGAGCGAACAGAUAAGGAGCUUGCUCCUUUGACGUUAGCGGCGGACGGGUGAGUAACACGUGGAUAACCUACCUAUAAGACUGGGAUAACUUCGGGAAACCGGAGCUAAUACCGGAUAACAUAUUGAACCGCAUGGUUCAAUAGUGAAAGGCGGCUUUGCUGUCACUUAUAGAUGGAUCCGCGCCGUAUUAGCUAGUUGGUAAGGUAACGGCUUACCAAGGCAACGAUACGUAGCCGACCUGAGAGGGUGAUCGGCCACGCUGGAACUGAGACACGGUCCAGACUCCUACGGGAGGCAGCAGUAGGGAAUCUUCCGCAAUGGGCGAAAGCCUGACGGAGCAACGCCGCGUGAGUGAUGAAGGUCUUCGGAUCGUAAAACUCUGUUAUCAGGGAAGAACAAAUGUGUAAGUAACUGUGCACAUCUUGACGGUACCUGAUCAGAAAGCCACGGCUAACUACGUG